rnacentral:rRNA from 1 species
ACGUAGGGAGCGAGCGUUGUCCGGAUUCAUUGGGCGUAAAGAGCUCGUAGGCGGCUUGAUAAGUCGGAUGUGAAACCUCCAGGCUCAACCUGGAGUCGCCAUCCGAUACUGUCAUAGCUAGAGUCCGGUAGGGGCCCACGGAACUCCUGGUGUAGCGGUGAAAUGCGCAGAUAUCAGGAAGAACACCAGUGGCGAAGGCGGUGGGCUGGGCCGGUACUGACGCUGAGGAGCGAAAGCGUGGGGAGCGAACAGGAUUAGAUACCCUGGUAGUCCACGCCGUAAACGUUGGGCACUAGGUGUGGGACCUUAUCAACGGGUUCCGUGCCGUAGCUAACGCAUUAAGUGCCCCGCCUGGGGAGUACGGCCGCAAGGCUA